UCCUGUGAGGCCGGCGGUGCAGAACCACGGCAGAGGAGGAGGAAAAUCCCGUUUCCCGUGGAAAGUGCAAUAAAGACACGAGGAAUUACACCGCAAAUGUUUCGGAUUAUGAACAGAUGAGGGUUUUUUUUUCUUUUUAAAUUAUUCUUACUUCUUUUGGCCGAAGAGUGUGAAGUUGUCCUUUCACAUCCAGCAUGUGUAAGGAGAGAUAAAGCCGAUGAGCCAAAAAAGGGUCCGUUCUGCAGGCUGCGGUCGGUCUGAAAGAGUGGGGGGAAUAAGGGCCAUUCCCAAAGGCUAGGAAGGGGGGUUGGGGGGUGGCCAAAACGUGGACCAGCCCCGGUGAGGUCAAAUGCCUCGGACCACGACAACGUAACUGCGGUGAUGUCAUUAAAAAAAAAAACAAAAAAAAAAACGCAAAUGCUCCCUCCUAUCCGUGCACAAUCUCCAUCCAUUAGAGAGCGCGCGGGGACGAGUCCUCCGCGUGGCAAGCAGCAUCAUCUCACACAAGGAAGGAAACGGAUGAAAAACGGGGUUUUUGCGCCGCAGUUUCAACGCUUUAACAGAAGUAGCACCGAUUAAACAAUUAAGCAUGAAAGAACUUAACCAAGAGGGGCGUUCCGGAGCUGGAAGCGUCUGCUGUCAUCCAACAUCGGCGCUGUUUUCCGAUCGCUAUUCUCGCCUCGCGCUCCAUCAAAAUCCGAACACAUCGGAUUACCGGAUUACACACAGCAGCGUUCGAGGAUGACGAUGAUGGUGAUGAUGACGAUGAUGUCGCGAAAUAAUGCAGCGACGUCGUGCACGUGUCAACCCCGCUCACUUUUUCCUCCGAAAUGGAAGCAGCUCCACACAUUUAGGUCAGUAUGUGGGAUUUUUUUUUUUUUUUUUUUUUUUUUGUCACAGGAGUCAACAAUAACAGGCGGCGGAACAUGUGAUGGCUCAUGCGCAGGAGCAACUGCAGGGGGAAAUCAGUUUAUGGCACCUUGUGACCAACUUUGAACAAGCUCGGACGCGUGCACGCGUGUCAAAGUUGUAUAGCCUCUCGCAAAA